UGGGGAAUCUUCCGCAAUGGGCGAAAGCCUGACGGAGCAACGCCGCGUGAGUGAAGACGGCCUUCGGGUUGUAAAACUCUGUGAUUCGGGACGAAAGAUAAGCAGACGAAUAAUCUGCAUAAGUGACGGUACCGAAAAAGCAAGCCACGGCUAACUACGUGCCAGCAGCCGCGGUAAUACGUAGGUGGCAAGCGUUGUCCGGAAUUAUUGGGCGUAAAGCGCGCGCAGGCGGCUACUUAAGUCCAUCUUAAAAGUGCGGGGCUUAACCCCGUGAUGGGAUGGAAAAUGAGAAGCUGGAGUGUCGGGGAGGAAAGUGGAAUUCCUGGUGUAGCGGUGAAAUGCGUAGAGAUUAAGAAGAACACCGGUGGCGAAGGCGACUUUCUGGACGAAAACUGACGCUUAGGCGCGAAAGCGUGGGGAGCAAACAGG
rnacentral:rRNA from 1 species